rnacentral:rRNA from 1 species
UACGGGGGGAGCAAGCGUUGUUCGGAUUUACUGGGCGUAAAGGGCGCGUAGGCGGCCACCGCAAGUCGACUGUGAAAUCUCCGGGCUUAACCUGGAAAGGUCAGCCGAUACUGCGGGGCUAGAGUGCAGAAGGGGCAACUGGAAUUCUCGGUGUAGCGGUGAAAUGCGUAGAUAUCGAGAGGAACACCUGCGGCGAAGGCGGGUUGCUGGGCUGACACUGACGCUGAGGCGCGAAAGCUAGGGGAGCGAACGGG